GAUGCGCAAUUGAAGAGCCUGCCUGUCACGCAGGAGGUCACGGGUUCGAGUCCCGUACGCACCG
rnacentral:tRNA from 1 species